CACACCAGUCUUCGCCGUCAGAGAUAGCGGACGGCGGCGUUUGGCUGCCCAAGCCCCAAUUUCGUCCCCAAAUCCAUCCCUUCCCCCAUCGUAGAUGGUCCGUUGCAACUUGAUUAUUCACAGGGAUUUGAAGCCAUCCCAUCAGCUUAUUUCUGCAGAUGGAAUCCUCAUAAUCGCCGAUUUUGGCUAGUUUCUCGCCAAUGGCUGCCGCCGAUGCCCAACUUCUCCGAUCACCCAUCCUUUGCUCUCUCUCAGUUCGCCGCUAUCCUUAACAGAUACGCCACCCAUGGUAAGUAUUCUAUUAGGAAAGAUUACGUUUUGACUCUAAAUAUAGAAGCCGCUAUCAUUAGCAGAUACGCCAGCCAUGGUAAGUAUUCUAUUAGGAAAGAUUACGUUUUGACUAUAAAUGAUAACAUAUAUGCCAUCCAUGGUAAGUAUUCUAUUAGGAAAGAUUACGUUUUGACUCUAAAUAUAGAAUGAUGUUGGUCAAUUUUAUAAAAGAACAAAAUUUGGAAAGAAUUGAAAUGUAUACAAUCAUAGGAUGUAUAUUGGUUAUAUAGGUUUAAGAUUUAUUGAAUUGUUAGUGGUUUAAUUCUUUUCUUUCUCUAUACUGUAGUGGUUGAUAGUGUUGGUUGAUGAUGGUGAAAGAUAAGGUCUUAUCUUGAAGUAUAAGAACGGACCUUUUCCAGAAAUCCAAGGAAAUUUCUUAUUAUUUUAGUACGAACCCAAAAAACAAUUCAGUUUUACAAAAUCACCGCUCACCGGGUGUUGGGGACUGCCAGUCUACCAUUAUGAGGUGCGUUGUUAUAUAAUUUUUUUUUAUUUUUUAUCCGGUGUAUUGUUUGAUCUGCGAAUAUUCUUCUUCAUCUUUUUCUCUUUGCGAUUUCUGUCCGUAUCAAGUUAUAUAUGGAUUUGUUCUUAGAUUUACAUUUCAGAAUCGUUUGUUUUCUCUUUAUGCUGAUAUUGUCUAUUGAGUAAGAGAUCUAUAUCUGCAAAGAUAGUCGUUUAUUUUAUCUUUCUUUUUGCUUAUCUUAAUUUUUAAGAGUGGUGAAGUGGAUAGCUAAUACAUGAUCAAUAUAGCUAUUGAACGCUUGGUGAUAAAAUAUAUAUAUAUAUAUAUAUAUUGAAUAGUUGGUGUAUUAGAAAAGUUCCUGUCUUACUAUGAUGAUAAAGUUUUGUGUUUGCAUACACUGAGAUGCAUGUCUCUUGAGAUUUGAGGAUUGUUCAUUAGUAUUCCUAAAUCCUGAGUGUAUCUGGCGCCAAAUAGUCGAUCUCUAAUCGAAAUUUCCAACGUUGUUACCGAUGUGAUCCUAUCCUUAAUGGCAAUAAUUAGUUUAUAUGGCUUUGUUCUAUAUGUUGAUUUGAUUGGCUUGCUGCUUUGUUAGCUGUUGUUUCCUGACAGCACGUUUUUUAUUGUUCAAGUAAGUUUGUGUCUCUCAUUUUUUGACAAUUCACAUAGGAAAUAACAACAAACUUUCUAAUCAACGGCUAACAAUAUUGUGGGAAUGUUGCUUGACAGCAUAGAUUUUGAUGUGGAUGACGAGUCGGGUGGCUGUAGGUCCUGCUGUACCGAGUCAGGAGAAGGGGGAAGCUUUGGUGUGGUGUGUGUGUUGUUGGCCGAGUAGUCGAAUCAGGGGCAGAAGGCGAAGAUGGUGGCAGCGUAGGGCUGCCGCUAUUGGCCAAAGUGAGCAGAGGAUAGAGGGAGAAGAAGGUGAGAGGAAGAAAGAGAUGUGUGGUUCCACCAUUUUAGGUUUAAGGAUUUCAAAGGAUUUUGUAUAUUUUACUUUAUUGAUUUGUGGAAAUUUGAGUUGUUGUUGCUGCUGCUAGAAGUUGUGUUUUGUUAUUUGUAGUUGGGUAUUUAAGUUUAUGAGUUGUUAU